rnacentral:rRNA from 1 species
GACGAACCGGACAAACGUUAUUCGGAAUUACUGGGCUUAAAGGGUACGUAGGCGGUCCGGUAAGUCGGGUGUGAAAGCCCCGGGCUCAACCUGGGAAUUGCAUUCGAGACUGAAUAGCUAGGGUACGGUAGAGGGAAGCGGAAUUUCCGGUGUAGCGGUGAAAUGCGUAGAUAUCGGAAGGAACAUCAGUGGCGAAAGCGGCUUCCUGGACCAGUACCGACGUUCAGGCACGAAAGCGUGGGGAGCAAACAGG